rnacentral:rRNA from 1 species
UUCGCAAUGCCCGAAAGGGUGACGAAGCGACGCCGCGUGGGUGAGGAAGGCCUUCGGGUUGUAAAGCCCUGUCAGGAGUUAAAAAAUGUAGAUUCGCUAAUAUCGGGUCUAUUUGACAAAGGCUCCAAAGGAAGCCACGGCUAACUCUGUGCCAGCAGCCGCGGUAAUACAGAGGUGGCAAGCGUUGUUCGGAAUUAUUGGGCGUAAAGAGCACGUAGGUGGAUUUGUAAGUCAGAUGUGAAAGCCUUCUGUUCAACGGAAGAAUUGCAUCUGAAACUACAAACCUUGAGUGUAGGAGGGGAGAAUGGAACUUCUGGUGGAGCGGUGAAAUGCGUAGAUAUCAGAAGGAACGCCGGCGGCGAAAGCGAUUCUCUGGCCUAUUACUGACACUCAGUGUGCGAAAGCUAGGGGAGCAAACGGGAUUAGAUACCCCGGUAGUCCUAGCCGUAAACGAUGGGCACUAAGUAGAGGGGUUUU